rnacentral:lncRNA from 1 species
CGCCGUCGCUUAGCUCUUCGCCGCUCCGCCAGAGGGGCAGGUGCGGAGGGGCUCCCGGUCCGGCCGCCGCCGCCCGCUCCGGGCCCGGGGCUCCCUCUAGCGCCGUGAGGAGCCUCCGGCGGCUGAAAGAAGCGCGGCCGAGUGCUUGAGUUCGCGGCGGAUAGAAGGACGAGGACAGAAUCACCAGCACUGGCUGAAGGUUUGCUGGCAUGGGUAAUCUCAUUAAGGUGCUAACCAGGGACAUAGACCACAAUGCAGCACAUUUUUUCUUGGACUUUGAAAAUGCCCAGCCUACAGAGUCUGAGAAGGAAAUAUAUAAUCAGGUGAAUGUAGUGUUAAAAGAUGCAGAAGGCAUCUUGGAGGACUUGCAGUCAUACAGAGGAGCUGGCCACGAAAUACGAGAGGCAAUCCAGCAUCCAGCCGAUGAGAAGUUGCAAGAGAAGGCAUGGGGUGCAGUCGUGCCACUAGUAGGCAAAUUAAAGAAAUUUUACGAAUUUUCUCAGAGAUUAGAAGCAGCAUUAAGAGGCCUUCUGGGAGCCUUGACAAGCACACCAUACUCCCCCACCCAGCAUCUAGAGCGAGAGCAGGCUCUGGCUAAACAGUUUGCAGAGAUUCUUCACUUCACACUCCGGUUUGAUGAACUCAAGAUGACAAAUCCUGCCAUACAAAAUGAUUUCAGCUACUAUAGAAGAACAUUGAGUCGUAUGAGAAUUAAUAACGUCCCG